GACGAACGCUGGCGGCGUGCUUAACACAUGCAAGUCGAGCGGAAAGGCCACUUCGGUGGUACUCGAGCGGCGAACGGGUGAGUAACACGUGAGUAAUCUGCCCCUCACUUUGGGAUAGCCACCGGAAACGGUGAUUAAUACCGGAUAUGACCAUAUGUCGCAUGGCGUGUGGUGGAAAGUUUUUCGGUGAGGGAUGUGCUCGCGGCCUAUCAGCUUGAUGGUGAGGUAAUGGCUCACCAUGGCUUCGACGGGUAGCCGGCCUGAGAGGGUGACCGGUCACACUGGGACUGAGACACGGCCCAGACUCCUACGGGAGGCAGAAGUGGGGAAUAUUGGACAAUGGGCGGAAGCCUGAUCCAGCAACGCCGCGUGAGGGAUGACGGCCUUCGGGUUGUAAACCUCUUUCAGUACCGACGAAGCGCAAGUGACGGUAGGUACAGAAGAAGCACCGGCCAACUACGUG
rnacentral:rRNA from 1 species